rnacentral:lncRNA from 1 species
AACGAUUUCAAGAGUGCACAGAUCCCUUUGAUGUCAUCUUCACCUGUGCUGGGAGAGUGUAUAAAAUGGUGGUGAAAGACCUGUGUGAUAGAGAACAGAAGCCCUGGCAGCCUGUGCAUGUGAUCAACUUGGAUAUAAAGGACACGCUGAAGGCAGCCAGCCUUGGUGCUUCAAUCACCUGUGAGCUCUACCAGGGUCUCCAGCAGGCUGAUGACAUGCAGAGCAGUCUGGCUGAGCUGCUCCCGGCAGCAAAGCAGAAAACAGGAAGGAGCUUUCUGCACACAGUCUAUUCUACUGAAGAUCUUAGGUGCAUCCCACUCAGGCAAGAAGUGGAGGAUAAAAAGGUUUCAUGGCAAACAGAACACGAACUGUAAGUAGGCAUCAAAGUCCCUUCAAUUUGAGUUUGAAUAGUGUGGAGACUUGCCUUCCAAGGAAUAAUUUAGUGUUCACACGUCUCUGCAAAGAAGUCAACCUCAGUGACUGCAUUUUAAUGAUCAACAAACCAAGGCUCAUAAUAGGUUGCUGGACAAGUGAACUGUCGAAGGAUAUUUCAGAAAAUGAAAAACAGUGUCUGUUUUAUCCAUUUAUAGUGAUAACAAUCCUUUUGCUUUUCUGGCAUGUGUAUAAAUGUAUUGAAUGUUUGAACUUCAAAAUAUUUUUAUUUUUAAGAUCGGAUGUCCUUUUCUAAUGCGAACUUUAAUAGAAACUCAGGGUGCAUAAUGAAUUGUAUUUAUUACUAAAAUUCUGCACGAUUUGU